AGUCCAGAUUCUGUUACAGGUGCCCCCAAUGGGGGAGAAUAGGGAAUCAGGCCUUAAUCCUGAGCGGACCCACCACUGUAAGAAGGGAGUCCCGUACAUUGGCCACUGGCUGAGGCUGGGAAGGCGUACGGUGAUGAUGAUCUUUGAGCCAGAAGACCUGCCUGUAAUCAAUGAGAUAA
rnacentral:ncRNA from 2 species